AUUGAUACUGCGAGUCUUGAGUAUGUUUGAGGUAGNCGGAAUGUGCAGUGUANCGGUGAAAUGCAUAGAGAUUGCACAGAACGCCGAUUGCGGAGGCAGCUUACUAAGCCAUAACUGACGCUGAGGCACGAAAGCGUGGGGAGCGAACAGGAUUAGAUACCCUGGUAGUCCACGCUGUAAACGAUGUUCACUCGCUGUUUGCGAUACACAGUAAGCGGCUGAGCGAAAGCAUUAAGUGAACCACCUGGGGAGUACGAUCGCAAGGUUGAAACUCAAAGGAAUUGACGGGGGCCCGCACAAGCGGAGGAACAUGUGGUUUAAUUCGAUGAUACGCGAGGAACCUUACCUGGGCUUAAAUGUAGGCUGCAUGAAGUAGAAAUACUUCUUUCCUUCGGGACUGCUUACAAGGUGCUGCAUGGUUGUCGUCAGCUCGUGCCGUGAGGUGUCGGGUUAAGUCCCAUAACGAGCGCAACCCUUAUCGUUAGUUGCUAGCAGGUAAAGCUGAGGACUCUAGCGAGACUGCCACCGUAAGGUGAGAGGAAGGUGGGGAUGACGUCAAAUCAGCACGGCCCUUAUGUCCAGGGCUACACACGUGUUACAAUGGCCGGUACAGAGGGAAGCUACCUGGUGACAGGUUGCCAAUCUUAAAAGCCGGUCUCAGUUCGGAUUGGAGUCUGCAACCCGACUCCAUGAAGUUGGAUUCGCUAGUAAUCGCGCAUCAGCCAUGGCGCGGUGAUACGUUCCCGGGCCUUGUACACACCGCCCGUCAAACCAUGGGAGCUGGGGGUGCCUGAAGUCUGUGACCGAGAGGAGCGGCC
rnacentral:rRNA from 1 species